GCUGGGUGCGGUGGCUCACACCUGUAAUCCUAGCACUCUGGGAGGCCGAGGCAGGCGGAUCACUUGAGGUCAGGAGUUCGAGACUAGCCUGACCAACAUGGUGAAACCCUGUCUCUA
ensembl:misc_RNA Metazoa_SRP Metazoan signal recognition particle RNA